CAUACCUGUCAAAGUUCAUGCAAACAAUGACAUUUUAAUCUCUUGAGAAAUUAUUAAAAGCGGCGAGAAAACAGAAAGCUUUAAUAAAAAUAAUCAGCUUUUACCCUUCCUCCAGGCGCAAUAGACGGGCUUCGGCCGAGAGGUUCCUCUCUCCUAACCACUUCCUCAGAUUCGCUUUCCAUCAUCAUCCUACUCCAAUGUUCCCACAACGUGCAAGGAUCAGCCUUCCAAUGCUAGGAAUCAGAAAUAUCCCCACAAACAUCUUAUAACCUCCCAAUUAUAUGGAGCUUCCUGCCAAAAGUUUAGUUUCACAGGCACUUACUCAACGAAAAGCAAACAGGGGAGCAUCCAAGAGCCAUACUGACACCAGUAUACAACAAGCAUCUAUUUGCUAAAUAGGUAUGAAAUCCCUGGAGUAGCCAUUUAUUACAAUAUCCUCCAUUCAAAUGACCUAUUAGACAAGUAACACAAGCACACCCUCUUCUGUUUAGCAUUUGUGUUUGACCAAGGCAUGCAUUGUAGUCAGAAUUCUAGGGAGCUUCAGAGACAUCAUGAACAAACACAUCGGGGUUCUCAGUUAGUCUCAACAUCAACCCAAUGGAUACGGGAGCCUCUGCAAUGGCCAGUUUCCAAGAGAUCGGGUAAAAGAGAAAGGUUGAUGUGUGGUGGACAGCCAAUCAUAAAGUUUUUGCCUAUCCGCCUUCUAAAAUCUGGCUCCAAAUUACUGGGAGAAGGAUCCAAGCAACAUGUAUAACCAACUCAUUAUUUUUAUUUUUAUUUUUUUACAGGUAACAACAAUUUUUAAUAGGAAAAGACUAUCCUUUAAGGUACCAGAUCAGCAUCACCAACAUAAAAGGAUUGCCUCACUAUACCUUCUUUGGUUAAUGAUAAGAGUCACCAUUUAGUGAGGAUUUCUCGCUACACCUUUAGCCAGUACACUGGCAAUGGAGUUGGCCUCUCGAGGAACUAAGCUAAAGGAAAUUUUAA